UACAGAGGGUGCGAGCGUUAAUCGGAAUUACUGGGCGUAAAGCGCGCGUAGGCGGCUUUACAAGUCGAGUGUGAAAUCCCCAGGCUUAACCUGGGAACUGCAUUCGAGACUGCAUGGCUAGAGUAUGGGAGAGGGAAGUGGAAUUUCAGGUGUAGCGGUGAAAUGCGUAGAUAUCUGAAGGAACAUCAGUGGCGAAAGCGACUUCCUGGACCAAUACUGACGCUCAUGUGCGAAAGCGUGGGGAGCAAACAGG
rnacentral:rRNA from 1 species